ACCGCCCCGCCCGACCCCACAGAACCUCGCGGGCCCUACACUCCCCCUGCCGAGGUUGAAGUCCCCAGCGGUUGGAAGAUCGGCCAAUUGUAGUGUAUUUAUCAGAAAAGUGACUCAUCCUUGAUCCUCAUUUCCCGGUUUGUGGAACUCUGUGAGGAAAGCCCUGCAGUUAGGCUCAAUAAAAGACAGAAAUUCCUGUCGCAGCGCUCAUAAUUCAUUUCCCUCUAGGUCUGUCGCCUUUGUAGAAACCCCGAGGAUGGCAACCUUCAACCUGGAGAUCCCUGAAGCCUUGACCAGGGAGGUUUACAGUGAAGCGUUCCUAUUAGCGACUACAGCUAUCUAACCUCAGUUCCUCCUGCUGCAGUUUCGGUCCCUUUCUCCUCCUCCUCCAGCAACCACGCCCUCCAUGAAUCAGCUUCUUGCACCAGCAGAUGAGCCCUUUAAAGGGAUUGCAUCAGGCAAGUGACUCACUGGGGCCCUCUAAGAGCCUGGCUUCCCUCCCUUGGCAUGCAGAAGCAGCUAGAAGGGCUCAGUGGCAGCAGCACCAGCGGCCGUAGCCCCACUCCCUUGUCCCAGAGGUGUGAGUCAGGGUGUUUGCUGCUUAUGAUGUCUAACUCUUGGCUGUCUUUCCAGCUGUCCCCUGGGUCACUCUAUAUCCAUGUGUGGGCACACGUGUCUAAGCUUGUGUGCACUGCUGGGUUUUCCUAGGGUGUGUGGCCACUUGUGUGUAUGUGCAUUUGUCAUCUCCACAUAGGCAGUGCCAGGACACAAGAGCUGAUAUGAGUGAAGUCUGGCUGCCUCUACCUGUGUCCUUUGUCUCUGAAUGCCUGGUGCCCACUGAGCUGCUGAUAGGGCUGACUAACAAGAGUAAUCAGGACAGCUCCCACCGUUGUGCCACACUCUGCAUGGAGCACUUGAGACAGUAUUAGGUAGGAGGCUGUUUACAGCUGAGGAAGCCAGUGCUCAGAGAAGGAAAUUAAUGUGCCCAAACACACACAGCUAAUAAUGGCAGGGCUAGGAUUCAAAUCAAGUCUGAUGGAUUCCAAAAAACUUGGCUUUGAAUCCCUGCUGCAUCACUUACAAGCUGGGUGACUAUGUGCAAAUUGCCCAAUCUUCCCCUUCUGUCCAAACAGGGAUAACGCUUGGGGGAUCACUGUGAGGACUCGGAGUUAUAGAAACAGCUUUUUGCAAGACCCAGCGAGCACUCAUACUCAUCUCAGUUGAAGGGCUUCAAUGAGGUGGGUGACCAAAAGACAGGCAUAAAGAAGGCCCCAGCCCAGCAAGCUCCACUCUCUGACAAAACAAAAAGCCUAGGGAUUCCGGAAGCCCUGACUCUGACAAAAAUGAGUUCUGGGUUUUCCAGAGCUCUAAUUAUCAGCUAGAUGAAUCACUCUGCGCUGACACCACCAUUCCUACCCCCAGGAGACUCUCAGCUGAUUGAAAAUCCAGGAUUUUAACAAAGGAGAGGAGGAGGAACAGAAAGCUAGGAGGAGAAGAAGUAAUGAAUAGAAACCAAAGGUGCCAGCCAGAGGAAAUGAGAAACUGUCAUCAGGACACUACCAUGAGGAGAACGCUGGGACACACACACACACACACACACACACUCACACUCACGCUGACAUACUCUUGCUGGCUCUCCAACUCUAGGCUUACGGCAGACGGUGCUGCCAUAACAAAGUGACGCCUGUCACAACAGCAUGAGAUGGUGGCUUGACAAGGUAUAGGCAGAUCUGCCUAUCACAGAAGGAGGGAAAGAGACCUUCAACCCCCAGGGGCUUCCUCAGGCUUCUGAACCCUCGUCUCCAUUACUGGUUGGCUCUGGCUUCUCUUUGUCACCAAAUCGCAAGGCCUAAAUCUGGCAAAUUUUGAGUGUCAGACCUACACCCUGUGGCUAGGUACCACCACUGUGGUGAACAAAGGCACCUCUUAUACUCUGUCAUCAGUAUGAUGCCAAGAGUGCUGGGAAACAGAAUAGCACAGCAGUUAAGAUCAUUGAGUUGGAGUCACACAGACCUGAGUUCAAAUCCCCAUUCUGUUGUUCACCUUGAGCAGGCCACAUAACUUCCUUGAGCCGGUUUGCUCAAAUGUAAAAUGGUGCUAUUAAUAUAUGGGGUUUUUAUAAUGAUAUAAUAAGAUUACUUUCAGGGCUGGGCGCAGUGGCUCACUCCUGUAAUCCCAGCACUUUGGGAGGCCGAGGUGGGUGGAUUGUCUGAGGUCAGGAGUUCGAGACCAGCCUGGCUAACAUGGCAAAACCCCGUCUCUACUGAAAAUACAAAAAUUAGCUGGACGUGGUGGCUGGUGCCUGUAAUCCCAGCUACUUGAGAGGCUGAGCAGGGGGAAUCACUUGAACCUGGGAGGCAGAGGUCGCAGUGAGCCAAGAUCGCACCAUUGCACUCCAGCUCAGGCAACAAGAGUGAAACCCCAUGUCAAAAAAAAAAAAAAAAGGAUUAUUUUCAUUCCACAAGAUUGAUGGAGUGCCCACUAUGUGCAGAGCACUGAGCUAGAUGCUGGAGAUUCGGCAUAACCAGACAACAGCUCUGCCCUUGUGGAGCAUCAGAGCACCCAGCACAGGGCAAGUAGUAAAAUUCAACAAAGAGUAGCUAUUUUUCAUUUAUUUUAUUUUAGAGACGGGGUCUUGCUGUUGCCUAGGCUGGAGUGCAGUGGCACAAUCACAGCUCACUGCACCCUCAAACUCCCAGGCUCAAGAGAUCCUCCCACCUCAGCCUCCUGAGUAGCUGGGACUUACAGGUGUGUCCCACCAUAUCCUGCUAAUUUUUAAAAAAAUUUUUAUAGAGACAGGGUCUCACUGUGUUGCCAGGGCUGGUCUUGAACUCCUGGGCUCAAGUGAUCCUCCCACCUCAGCCUCCCAAAGUGCUGGGAUUA
rnacentral:lncRNA from 1 species